GAUGAACGCUGACAGAAUGCUUAACACAUGCAAGUCGAUGGGGAAGUGGUGCUUGCACCAUGGCAACCAUGGCGGACGGGUGAGUAACGCGUAAGGGACUUACCUGCAGGACUGGGAUAACAGGGGGAAACUCCUGACAAGACCGGAUAAUGUCAUGGAGCUGCAUGGCUUUAUGAUGAAAGGAGACGCCUGCGGAGAGCCUUGCGUCCUAUUAGCUAGUUGGUGCGGUAAUGGCUCACCAAGGCGAAGAUAGGUAGCCGGCCUGCGAGGGUGGACGGCCACAAGGGGGCUGGGAUACGGCCCUUACUCCUACGGGAGGCAGCAGUGAGGAAUAUUGGACAAUGGGGGCAACCCUGAUCCAGCAAUUCUGUGUGCUCGAAGAAGGUUUUCGGAUUGUAAAGUGCUUGCAGCAGGGAAGAAGUAAGUGACGGUACCUGCGGAAGAAGCGACGGCUAAAUACGUG
rnacentral:rRNA from 1 species